UAGGGAAUCUUCCGCAAUGGACGCAAGUCUGACGGAGCAACGCCGCGUGAGUGAAGAAGGAUUUCGGUUCGUAAAACUCUGUUGUUAGAGAAGAACAGCGCAUAGAGUAACUGUUAUGCGUGUGACGGUAUCUAACCAGAAAGCCACGGCUAACUACGUGCCAGCAGCCGCGGUAAUACGUAGGUCCCGAGCGUUGUCCGGAUUUAUUGGGCGUAAAGCGAGCGCAGGCGGUUAGAUAAGUCUGAAGUUAAAGGCAGUGGCUCAACCAUUGUAGGCUUUGGAAACUGUUUAACUUGAGUGCAGAAGGGGAGAGUGGAAUUCCAUGUGUAGCGGUGAAAUGCGUAGAUAUAUGGAGGAACACCGGUGGCGAAAGCGGCUAUCUGGUCUGUAACUGACGCUGAGGCUCGAAAGCGUGGGGAGCGAACAGG
rnacentral:rRNA from 1 species